CCUACGGGAGACAGCAGUGGGGAAUAUUGCACAAUGGGGGGAACCCUGAUGCAGCGACGCCGCGUGAGUGAAGAAGUAUUUCGGUAUGUAAAGCUCUAUCAGCAGGGAAGAAAGAAAUGACGGUACCUGACUAAGAAGCCCCGGCUAACUACGUGCCAGGAGCCGCGGUAAUACGUAGGGGGCAAGCGUUAUCCGGAUUUACUGGGUGUAAAGGGAGCGUAGACGGCGAUGCAAGUCUGAAGUGAAAGGCUGGGGCCCAACCCCCGGACUGCUUUGGAAACUGUAUGGCUGGAGUGCCGGAGAGGGAAGUGGAAUUCCUGGUGUAGCGGUGAAAUGCGUAGAGAUUAGGAGGAACACCAGUGGCGAAGGCGGCUUACUGGACUGUAACUGACGCUGAGGCGCGAAAGCGUGGGGAGCAAACAGGAUUAGAUACCCCAGUAGUC
rnacentral:rRNA from 1 species